rnacentral:rRNA from 1 species
CCUACGGGAGACAGCAGUGGGGGAUAUUGCACAAUGGGGGAAACCCUGAUGCAGCGACGCCGCGUGUGGGAAGACGGUCCUCUGGAUUGUAAACCACUGUCCCCAGGGACGAAGAUGACGGUACCUGGGGAGGAAGCUCCGGCAAACUACGUGCCAGCAGCCGCGGUAAUACGUAGGGCGCGAGCGUUGUCCGUAAUUACUGGGUGAAAAGGGAGCGUAGGCGGGACUGCAAGUUGGGUGUCAAAUCUACCGGCUCAACCGGUAGCCGCACUCAAAACUGCAGUUCUUGAGUGAAGUAGAGGCAGGCGGAAUUCCUAGUGUAGCGGUGAAAUGCGUAGAUAUUAGGAGGAACACCAGUGGCGAAGGCGGCCUGCUGGGCGUUUACUGACGCUGAGGCUCGAAAGUGUGGGGAGCAAACAGGAUUAGAUACCCCAGUAGUC